GCAUUGGUGGUUCAGUGGUAGAAUCCUGGCCUCCCACGCAGGAGACCAGGGUCCGAUACUCGGCCAAUGCA
rnacentral:tRNA from 1 species